rnacentral:rRNA from 1 species
AAUUUGGAUUAAUACCUCAUAGCAUUGCAGGAUGGCAUCAUCCAGCAAUUAAAGUCACAACGGUAAAAGAUGAGCAUGCGUCCCAUUAGCUAGUUGGUAAGGUAACGGCUUACCAAGGCUACGAUGGGUAGGGGUCCUGAGAGGGAGAUCCCCCACACUGGUACUGAGACACGGACCAGACUCCUACGGGAGGCAGCAGUGAGGAAUAUUGGACAAUGGGCGCAAGCCUGAUCCAGCCAUGCCGCGUGCAGGAUGACGGUCCUAUGGAUUGUAAACUGCUUUUAUACGAGAAGAAACACUACUUCGUGAAGUAGCUUGACGGUAUCGUAAGAAUAAGGAUCGGCUAACUCCGUGCCAGCAGCCGCGGUAAUACGGAGGAUCCAAGCGUUAUCCGGAAUCAUUGGGUUUAAAGGGUCCGUAGGCGGUUUAAUAAGUCAGUGGUGAAAGCCCAUCGCUCAACGGUGGAACGGCCAUUGAUACUGUUAAACUUGAAUUAUUAGGAAGUAACUAGAAUAUGUAGUGUAGCGGUGAAAUGCUUAGAGAUUACAUG